UACUAUGUGUGGCAAGUAUUUUCCUGUAAGACAUAAGAAAAAUCUUGAAACCAAGCAUAAAUACAAAGAUGUAAUGUAUAUUAUUAUUAAAUGUGAAUCAAGACGGUCUUACACCAGUGCUUCACCAAUAAGAAGAAUUGCAUUAAACUGGUAGCACAGUAAAAGAAUGGUUGUAUAUGGGACAGUGAUGGGGAAAGAGGAAGGAGCAUCCACGAGUUCAAGGAAUAGGUAGGUAUGUCUCUUUGUAGAGGAAAAAUACUGAGGGAAAAAACCCAUAGGGACGAUAUAUUGGUCUGGAUAAGACUAUGUGGUAUUAUGUCUUUAUUAACUAGUCCUAAGUGGUAGAGGUUCUGAAAACAUGUAAGUAAAAGCAUUCUAGGAGUACCGUGAAAAAUAAACAGGAUAAUUAUUAUAAAAAUGGUACUCUCAAAGCUCUCAAAGCAUUUUUUAUUGAAUCCAAAAGUUAUACUGAUGUAACAUUAAGAAUGAGAUUUUAACUGAAAUGUUUAAACCAAAGGUUUCUUCAAGAAACCCUCACACUGUUCACAUGAGUAUAUGCAUAACAAUAGAUUCUUUCAUUAUGUACUGAAUUUUUGCAUCAGAUACUGAAUAAUAAUUAUUUUCCACUGUAGCUUCACCCCAGCCUACCUGGAGUUUCACAACACUGCAGCAGAAAGCUGCUUUCUGAAUAGGCAGCUCCUCAAAGAGGCAGUGAUCUACCAGAUGCUAAGAGGAUACACAGAAACAUGAGGGAGGGCUUAAGCCUGUAUACAGGAGAGAAACCAGAUGUGUGAGAAACAUUAUACAGACACUGUCAAAAAUGAGGAAAGAAAUAGCUUGAAGAAGCAGAUGGGUGGACAAGGUAUUUUCCCUCAAAUAUUUCAACAAACAAUGGGAGGAAGAAAAUGCAUAGCAGCCUAGAACAGCUUCAUUGAUAAAAUGAACUUGAUCUGUGUCUGAUAAAUCUUUAUAUUCAGGCAAGGUCUCCCGCCAUGUUGUUCUUUAUCAAGAGGUAUGCUCAGUUUUGGGACUGCUGCACCAAAGACUAGAUUUUCCAAGAUCGGAGCAUUCUACCUUCACUCUGAGAAGCAGAGCUGAGAUCUCUCAGCAGCAGUCAGGAAGUGAAUGCGAACCUGAAUAACAUUUUGUUAAAACAGAGCAUCAGGAAUUGGUUUUACUGAAGAACAGAGGAAUCAUACAUUGGGAAAUAGUUGCUAUAAAAAGAAGUACUAGAUCUUGGUAGAAGAAAGGAGCAAGAGCACUACAGUUUCCCCUCUGGGUACCAGCAAACUGUCUUAGGAUUCAUUCUGAAUAUUUCAGGUUUCUGAUUCAGAGCCUGAAACUUGACUCAAGAUAGGGUGAAACUCAUCAGAAAUUGUGUUCCCUGCGGGUAGUGAAGAAAAGGCUGCAAGAAAAAGUAGAUAAUGUUUGAUCCUGAAAAGAACUCCUUGAUCUGGAAGAUGCAGCUUGUACAGAACCUGCCUCAUUUGCACUUCUGGAGAAGAAUGAGCUAUUCACUCCCGCUACGCUGCAAGGCUUAUUCGCUUUGUGGUCAAUUCUCAAAUGUCUGUGAGAAGAUUAUCUGGGUUAUGUAUUAUAUGUGUCAUGCUUUAAAAAAAAAAGGAAAUCCUUUUCUAACCUCAUUCCAUGCUUAUAGUCUUGUUCUUAAAAGGUAAAUAUACUGAACAGAAUGUGCUAGCAUUUACUGUAUAUGUGUGGGGUUUAUGUAUGUUUAACUUUAUUUGGGUACCCUGUCCCCUUCUCUCACUGUUCUUGGAGAAUUGGCAGCAUUUAUGCUUGAAAUCUGUUGCUGUAGAGUUAUACAGGGUUUGGGUUUGCAUCUGAAGUACUGUGAACACCUACAAUAUUAUAAAAACAGUCAUUGUGAUUUAGGAUGGCUUAUUCUUGGCCACUCUUUGUCCUUUCCACUGUGUAAUUCAUUCCUGCUAUUCUUUUUUUUUUUCCUAUUCUUUGUACCUGUGAGCAAUUGAUUUCUUUUGAUAGGAGGUUUGAUUGAUGCUGUCUUGGCUAGAUAUU